rnacentral:tRNA from 1 species
GGAGGUGCGAGGGUUCCUGGUGGGCCCCCCGGUCUUCAACACCGGUGUACGGCGGUAUCCGUCGCAGGCGGGUUCGAUCCCCGUGCACCUCCGCCA